rnacentral:misc_RNA from 1 species
CCGGCCCCAUCUCUAUUUACUUACUAUUUAGCAGCGCGCGCCGGCGGGCCGGCAGCACCAGUCGCCUACGGCACGCAGCGCAACAUAGCAGCGUGCACAGCUAGCAGACGCAUACAAAAACAAAAUCGCUCUCUUCCGGUCGUACCACAGCGCUCGCCGCUCGGCGUCCUCAUCCUCCCAGUCAGUCCCAGACUCCCAGGCAGCACCCAGCCGUCCGGUCCCGACCCCGAGCAUGGAGCGACACGGCAUGAGCGCACGACGGCUACCAGCCAUGCUGCUGGCAAUGCUUCUGCUGCUGGCGACGGAGCUGGCCUCCUUCGGCUGCUGCGGCCACAGGAUUCCCAGAGCGGACGUGGCGGCGUGGAGGCACGGGCGGGAGGCGACGACGACGACGAUGGCAGGCGCGCGCGCUACGCCCCCCUCCCCCACGAAGGCAGACCUGGACACGGAGGCGGCGCUCGGCGAGUCCAAGAGGAUGGUGCCGCAGGGCUCCAACCCGCUGCACAACUAACUAGGAGCCAGAGCGAGAGAGCGAGAGGAGGCAAGCGCCGGCAGGUUCUUCGUUCGGCUAGCUUCCGUAUUUUUUUUUCUGCCCCCUCUCCCUCCCUGCUCAACCAUCACACACAGCGAUGAUAGAUGUGCGCCUGUAACUAACUGUAAUUAGCUAGCGCGCCGCAGCAGCAGUAGGGCUCUGGAGUGGAGUCCGGAUCCAAUCCACCACCACCAACACGGAGCAAGAGUGGACA